rnacentral:rRNA from 1 species
UCCGGUGGCUAUAGCGGCGGGGCCACACCCGUUCCCAUCCCGAACACGGCAGUUAAGCCCGCCAGCGCCUAUGGUACUGCGGUCCUUUCCGUGGGAGAGUGGGUCGUCGCCGGAA